AUGGGACACCCUGGUAGCUCUACCACUCGGGCAGUGUGGAAUACUCUCUGGAAACUUCAAAUUCCACGUAAAGUACAGAUUUUUUGUUGGCGAGCACUGCGAGGAGUUAUCCCACUAAGAGCUAUACUUACUAAUAGGCACAUUGGUUCCAAUGGUGCUUGUCCUAUCUGUCAUCAAGGGGCCGAGGAUAUCCGUCAUUUAAUGUUUUUAUGCUCGAAUGCACGACACUUGUGGACGAAGCUGGGCAUCACAAAUAUCAUCGACCAAGCGAUCCAGGUUGAUAGAUCGGGGUCUGCGAUCUUGGAAUUUAUCUUAUCAUUGCCGGACCAACAGCUUGAGAUGCACCCAAUAAUUAACUUCAAACAAGUAAUAGCCGUUGGGGGCUGGUACCUUUGGUGGAUGCGUAGAAAAGUGACGCACAAUGAAUCAAUUCCUCCCCCUUGGAGGUGGGCACUCUCUGUGUUAUCAAUCGCAAGCAACCAUCAGAGGGCUACAUCGCUGGUGAGAAUUUCCCCUGAAGCAAAGUGGUGUAAGCCGGACCCUCGGUUCAUUAAGUUAAAUGUUGAUGCGGCUAUCCUGCGUGAUGACAAAAGGUAA
rnacentral:rRNA from 1 species